AGCUGCUACUGGGCAUGCGCACAUAAAUCUAACGUUAUUUUUGUCACACUGUAGAUCAAUAAUACUUUUUUUUUUUUUUAUUAUUAUUAUAGUAAGGGCUACGUUUAUGGUUGGGGUAGGUGUAGACGUUAUAAAACACAGUCUAAUAGCUAGAACAAUUCAUUUCAUUGUUAGUUUCCGGUCGGAGUUGUACCCCUUGGGAGAAACGAGUCUUUUCGAAGCUUCAGCCUUUGUGAACACUGAAUAUCUAAGAUGGUACAUUCGAGAUGAUGUGAAUACUGAUGUAACUGUCCUGUUGUUGAUGGGCCACUUUAAAAGAAGCAGAGGAUUUGCUGUUCCUUUUAGCCAGUGUCACAACAACUGCAGCAGAUGCAAAGACCAGGCUUUCACUACUCUGAUCAUGCUUGGAGAUUCAAUUCUACACAGCAAAAAAAAAUGGAUACUGCUGAAAGCAAAGUCUUCUUUCCUGUGACUGACCUACCAGAUAUGUCCUCUGCAUUUGCUGUUCUCUUCAUUUAUGUGCUUAACAUCAAGUACUAAGUGGAAGCCACUACUUUGUUGUUUAUUUAGAGGUUCAUUGUGAGGAUAAAUCUUGACACACCUCAAGUGCUCUGCAAAAUUCCAGAUCAGCAAACGAAGUGGGAAGAUACACAUUUUUUACAAAUAUUUAUGUAUACAUUCUUGAAAAAUGUUUCUUGUAUAACAAGUUUGAGUUUUAUUUGAAGCUUCACUGUCAUUGCUGUUCACUGUUAUCAUAGUAUGUUGUGCUUAGGAUAAAUGUUAAGAAUUUUUCUAGCUAUAAUAGUUAAAAUGGUAUGUGCUGUAAUAUAUAUAAUAGUUUGUAAUACUGUUUUGUUUGAGUCUUAAAUGAAUCUGAAAAUUGUAAUG